rnacentral:tRNA from 1 species
CGGCCUGUGGUUCAGCGGCGGAACACGCGGCCGAGAAUCGUGAGGCGGAGGUUCGACUCCUCCCAGGCCGU